CCUACGGGAGGCAGCAGUGGGGAAUAUUGGACAAUGGGGGCAACCCUGAUCCAGCCAUGCCGCGUAUGUGAAGAAGGCCCUCGGGUUGUAAAGCACUUUCAGUGAGGAAGAACGCCUGGUGGUUAAUACCCAUCAGGAAAGACAUCACUCACAGAAGAAGCACCGGCUAACUCCGUGCCAGCAGCCGCGGUAAUACGGAGGGUGCGAGCGUUAAUCGGAAUUACUGGGCGUAAAGCGCGCGUAGGUGGCUUGAUAAGCCGGUUGUGAAAGCCCCGGGCUCAACCUGGGAACGGCAUCCGGAACUGUCAAGCUAGAGGGCAGGAGAGGAAGGUAGAAUUCCCGGUGUAGCGGUGAAAUGCGUAGAGAUCGGGAGGAAUACCAGUGGCGAAGGCGGCCUUCUGGACUGACACUGACACUGAGGUGCGAAAGCGUGGGUAGCAAACAGGAUUAGAUACCCUAGUAGUC
rnacentral:rRNA from 1 species